CACCCUUUGUGACAUACCUAUAACUGUUGCUUCGGCGGGUAGGGUCUCCGCGACCCUCCCGGCCUCCCGCCUCCGGGCGGGUCGGCGCCCGCCGGAGGAUAACCAAACUCUGAUUUAACGACGUUUCUUCUGAGUGGUACAAGCAAAUAAUCAAAACUUUUAACAACGGAUCUCUUGGUUCUGGCAUCGAUGAAGAACGCAGCGAAAUGCGAUAAGUAAUGUGAAUUGCAGAAUUCAGUGAAUCAUCGAAUCUUUGAACGCACAUUGCGCCCGCCAGCAUUCUGGCGGGCAUGCCUGUUCGAGCGUCAUUUCAACCCUCAAGCUCUGCUUGGUGUUGGGGCCCUACAGCCGAUGUAGGCCCUCAAAGGUAGUGGCGGACCCUCCCGGAGCCUCCUUUGCGUAGUAACUUUACGUCUCGCACUGGGAUCCGGAGGGACUCUUGCCGUAAAACCCCCCAAUUUUCCAAAGGUUGACCUCGGAUCAGGUAGGAAUACCCGCUGAACUUAAGCAUAUCAAUA
rnacentral:rRNA from 1 species